UAGGGAAUCUUCGGCAAUGGACGAAAGUCUGACCGAGCAACGCCGCGUGAGUGAAGAAGGUUUUCGGAUCGUAAAACUCUGUUGGUAGAGAAGAACGUUGGUGAGAGUGGAAAGCUCAUCAAGUGACGGUAACUACCCAGAAAGGGACGGCUAACUACGUGCCAGCAGCCGCGGUAAUACGUAGGUCCCGAGCGUUGUCCGGAAUUAUUGGGCGUAAAGCGAGCGCAGGUGAUUUAUUAAGUCUGGUGUAAAAGGCAGUGGCUCAACCAUUGUAUGCAUUGGAAACUGGUAGACUUGAGUGCAGGAGAGGAGAGUGGAAUUCCAUGUGUAGCGGUGAAAUGCGUAGAUAUAUGGAGGAACACCGGUGGCGAAAGCGGCUCUCUGGCCUGUAACUGACACUGAGGCUCGAAAGCGUGGGGAGCAAACAGG
rnacentral:rRNA from 1 species